rnacentral:lncRNA from 1 species
AGGCCAUGUCCUGGUGGACAGGCGGGUCAUCCUGGGAGAUGGAAGUAUCCUUGGGAGGAAGGGAAAAGAAGAAAGCAUUGACUAAGCUCCAAAUUAACGGUGUUAAUUUUUAAUACAAGAGCCUGGCUUUGCCUUAAAGAAUCCAAGGUCCUUCGCCGGAUAACUCUGUACGGCAUCCGAUCCCUUGCCAAGGUUGAAAUGUAAGCUCUCGACUGUUGCUCCAGCACCAUGCUGCCUGCUGCCAUGCUCCCCACCAUGACGCGAUGGACUCUUAUCUCUUUGGAACCUAAGCC